rnacentral:misc_RNA from 1 species
AGUGGCAGGCUAGCAUUAAUGAGGUACUCUUCUACGCAUAAAAUUUUCUCUUUCCUUCUUUAAAUAAGCUUUUUGUUUAUAGCUUAUUGUGAUGCUUUCUGUUUGUCUGCUACCAUGGAUUUAAGAGUUGUGCAUGCAUUUGACUUUAAUUUAUUAUUUCUUAAAGUAGCCCCAUAUCCAUAUGUAAUUUUUACUGUAGCAGAAAUAUGCAUGGACCUGUGAGGCUGUGAGCUCAUAUUAUAUUAUUUAUAUAUUGGAGUGGAAAGGCAUAAUCCUGUUGGUUGAUGUGUAAUCAUUAAUACAUUCAAGAUUGAUGAAAGGGAUGUUACUUGAGAGAGAGAGAGAGAUGGAGAUUGAUGUAUAGACGCUAUGCAAUGCAAUAUUCAACUAUACCAAACGGCACUUGAAAUUUAUUAAUCGGUAUGGUUAACUGAUUAAUAUUCUCCUAAUUUUAUCACAUGUGAGAACUGAGAACAUGAAACUACAGCUUGAAGGAAGCUCAUUUUCCCACACUCGUGCCUUGAGAUCCCAACCUUUGAUAACAGGAAAGUCAGAGAGAGGUAGUACAAUACCAAAAACCCAUAAUAUUAUUAAUUGAUUCAGUAAUCUGAUUGUCAUUUUCCUCUCUUUCAUCAUAUGAAAACUUAAGUUCAUCUUCUACUUUGGCGGACUCUUCCUAAUUUAACUGGAAAGUUGCUCCAUGGAAAUUUUAGCCAUACAACUUGGAUGGGAAAGUCGGCAACUAGCUCAUGUUUAUUUUCAUUGUAUAAAAACUACUAGGACCUGAGAAUUGCACUUGUGUUGACUUUGAGCAUAUAUUAGUGCGAAGUAAUUCACACUCCCUUUUUUAUGAAACUUGAUCCAUAUAUAAACAUAGGACUCGACUGAUUCCUUGUUCCAAUUGCUGAAGGUCCUUUCAUAGGCUUAUUGGCUGGGAGGCCAUAUAGCUUUUCUCAGUCUCUAAGAUAAAAUUCUUGGGCAGUGACAGAAGGAAGUUCCUUGGAAGCUAAAGUUUUGCUAGUGUUUUUUUUCCUGCAUGCAAUUAUAAUGUGCUGAUGCCUAAUAAUCCUUCAUGACGAGUGUUUAUGGCACUUGCCCCAUGUUUUAUUCAUUUUGUACCUGAGACUCUACUUUUACUGACAUAACAUGUAAUGCUGUUUUGAC